GACGUAGGGCGCGAGCGUUGUCCGGAUUUAUUGGGCGUAAAGAGCUCGUAGGCGGCUUGUCGCGUCGAAUGUGAAAUCUCAGAGCUCAACUCUGACAUUGCAUUCGAUACGGGCAGGCUAGAGUUCGGUAGGGGAGACUGGAAUUCCUGGUGUAGCGGUGAAAUGCGCAGAUAUCAGGAGGAACACCGAUGGCGAAGGCAGGUCUCUGGGCCGAUACUGACGCUGAGGAGCGAAAGCGUGGGGAGCGAACAGGAUUAGAUACCCCAGUAGUCC
rnacentral:rRNA from 1 species